UUUUGUCCAACAUUACAGUUACAGCGUAUACCUGGAGACUGAAUUCGAAGUGUCUUCAACGCGAAGACGUCUUCUUUAUCACCGAGAAGUUGACGGAAGCAGCCACCGCAGCUCUGACCAGACUUUCCACCAACUGAGAGGAUGUAGUUUCGUGACUGGUCGGGGGAACUCUGGUGACCACAGCUCCGCUAGUGAAGACCAGCAGAAGCAAGUUGACUGUACAAGUGAUCGAUGAGGCUACAUACAUCGACUUUCCAGAGGACGGUUGCUAUUGAGCACAGAAUUCACCAAAA